rnacentral:rRNA from 1 species
UGCUCGAGUGGCUAACGGGUGAGUAACACGUGAGUAACCUGCCCUUGACUUUGGGAUAACUUCAGGAAACUGGGGCUAAUACCCGAUAGGAGCUCCUGCUGCAUGGUGGGGGUUGGAAAGUUUCGGCGGUUGGGGAUGGACUCGCGGCUUAUCAGCUUGUUGGUGGGGUAGUGGCUUACCAAGGCUUUGACGGGUAGCCGGCCUGAGAGGGUGACCGGCCACAUUGGGACUGAGAUACGGCCCAG